GGUCUGUUAGCAAAAAGAAAUAGGUGAGAUUUCUGAAGGUCUGUUAGCAAAAAGAAAUAGGUUGUGUUGGUUGAAGUUUUUAGGGUUGGGUUAUUGUUGGAUUGCUUGCUUUUCGUAAGGCAGGGUAGUGAAGAAGAAAGGAAAAGAAGAAGAGGAGGAAGAAGAAGAGGAGGGAGACGGGAAUAAGUUGAUGC